rnacentral:rRNA from 1 species
CCUACGGGAGGCAGCAGUGAGGAAUAUUGGUCAAUGGGCGCAAGCCCGACCCAGCCACGCCGCGUGAAGGAAGACGGCUCUCGGGUUUUUAACUUCUUUUGUCAGGGAAGAGUAGACGACGGUACCUGACGAAUAAGCCACGGCCAACUACGUGCCAGCAGCCUCGGUAAUUCCGAGGUGGCACGCGUUUUCCGGAUUUGCUGGGUGUAAAGGGCGUUUUGCCGGGUUGACAAGUCAGAUGUGAAAUCUUGCGUCUUAAACGCAGAACUGCAUUUGAAACUGGUGAUCUUGAGUGCUGGAGAGGCAGACGGAAUGCCUGGUGUAGCGGUGAAAUGCGUAGAUAUUAGGAGGAACACCAGUGGCGAAGGCGGCAUGCUGGACAGCAACUGACGGUGAGGCGCGAAAGCGUGGGGAGCAAACAGGAUUAGAUACCCGUGUAGUC